CAGGAACUCUGCUCCAGCCAAGCACCCCGCUAGAUACUUGACAGACUUUUUCCACUUAAUUCUCACAACAGUUAUCUGAGAGUAAAUGAGAUGUGGCAGAGUGAUAAGGAUACUCCUAAAGUCUAACUUGGUGAACUUCCUAAGUUUCAUACACUCAUAUUUGCAGGCUCACUGCAGCUUAGAAAUGGCACAAAAUCCACAGAAGACAUACCCAUACCCAUGCACAUGA
rnacentral:lncRNA from 1 species